UACGUAGGGGGCAAGCGUUGUCCGGAAUCAUUGGGCGUAAAGCGCGCGUAGGCGGCCCGGUAAGUCCGCUGUGAAAGUCAAAGGCUCAACCUUUGAAUGUCAGCGGAUACUGCCGGGCUAGAGUCCGGAAGAGGCGAGUGGAACUCCUGGUGUAGCGGUGGAAUGCGCAGAUAUCAGGAAGAACACCAACGGCGAAGGCAGCUCGCUGGGACGGAACUGACGCUAAGGCGCGAAAGCGUGGGGAGCGAACGAGG
rnacentral:rRNA from 1 species